rnacentral:lncRNA from 1 species
UUUCAGUGGCAAAUUCUUAGUUCCUUCGUACCGUGGCUCGUCUUUCUUGGACCCUAAGGGACGUGGUGGAUCCACUGGCUACGAUAAUGCAGUGGCUUUGCCUGCGGGAGGUAGAGGUGACGAGAAUGUAAUAAAAUGUUUGUAAUUUUAAUUAAAUGAAUUUUUUUUCUACUUUUUAAUGUAUUGAAUAUAAAUAGAUACAUCUUAAUUACUACUUAUUAAUAAAAAAAAAUAUUUUAUACCUAAGAAAACGGUAGUAUCUAUACUUCCACAUCAAUUUUGACACGUGGCGAUCAAACAUCCAUAUACUCCUGAAGCAAUCCAAUAAAUUUUUUAAACUUAUCCAACCUUAUCUUAGCCAAAAGAACUCGCUCUCCUCCAAUAAUUACUUCUCAGCUUCGCAUCAUCAUCACUCCGAUAACACACAUACAUCUAAAGACUUGGCGUAAUGGCAACUUCUCUCAAAGCCACCACCGCAACUUUUCUUCAGCCGGCGAAGAUCGCCACUUCUUCUCCUUCUCGCAACGUUCAUCUCCGAUCUAACCAAACCGUGGGCAAGUCCUCUGGCCUAGAAUCUUCACCUGCUAGACUCACUUGCUCCAUCCACUCUGACUUCAAAGACUUCGUUGGAAAGUGCUCUGAUGCAGCCAAAAUUGCUGGUUUCGCUCUUGCCACCUCUGCUCUCGUUGUCUCGGUAUAUGUUCACAUUCUCAUCAAGAACAUAAACUUAACAAAAUCUAUAGGCCUUUUGUAUAUAUGAACAAAUAAACAUUCAUAAUGGAUUUUAAAUGUUUAUAUCAUAGACAUGGAUAAACCCAUUUAUUACUGAUUAUUUUGGAAGUUUCUAUAAUAUACGACCAUUGCAAUAGUUGUAGGUUUAGUUGAAUAUUCUAUGGAAAUUAAUAAACCUAGGGUUUUUAAUAUAUUUUGUUAAAUGAAGGGGGCAAGUGCGGAGGGAGCACCAAAGAGGUUAACGUACGACGAGAUACAGAGCAAGACCUACAUGGAGGUUAAGGGGACUGGUACCGCGAAUCAGUGUCCCACUAUCGACGGUGGCUCUGAAACAUUCUCAUUCAAACCUGGUAAGUACACCGGCAAGAAAUUCUGCUUCGAGCCUACUUCCUUCACCGUCAAGGCAGAUAGCGUCAGCAAGAACGCACCUCCGGAUUUCCAAAACACCAAGCUCAUGACCCGUCUCACUUACACACUCGACGAGAUCGAAGGACCCUUUGAGGUUCGUCUUCACUCACUUAUUUCGAGGUGUUGCUUCUUACGCUAGAAACAGGAAAGUUAACUUGUAUUGUUCAUUUAAUUAACAGGUUAGUUCAGAUGGAAGCGUGAAGUUCAAGGAAGAAGAUGGGAUCGACUACGCAGCAGUCACAGUCCAGCUUCCGGGAGGAGAACGCGUGCCGUUUCUCUUCACGGUGAAACAGCUCGAGGCUUCAGGCAAAC